AUUGAGCUAUAUAAAAUUAGCCCCUCGGUUUUGCCUUUUGCCAUUUUUUUAAUUUCAUUAUGAUUGUUUGUCGUUAGUUUGUGAAUGUUUGAUUAAUUUAAACGUUUGUUUGACAAUAUUUUUUGACGAACAAACGAAAUAAAAAAUAGCGUUAAAUUAGCCGCCACUGUUUCGAAAUUGAUUUUUUCAAACGCCAAUUGAUUCGGAAUCGUUUGUUUGAAACAAAUAAUAUUGUUUGAACGUUUGUUCGAUCAUUGUUUAUCCGAGAAAUGUAUAAAUCAAAUAUUGUCAAAAUCGCGGUAGAGCGAAUGUAAAUGUGAUUUCAUUUUUACUAAUCUGCAAACUCGACCGAGUACGACGGGAAUUUUAUUUCCCGAGUUGACCGCUACCAAAAAGUGUACGUUUUUAGCAGGGGCUCCUCGCUCCUCCUCAACAACGCUAUCAACGCUUAGUAGCAGAAGACUUUUCAAAGCUAACCUAGAAAACGUUAUAUUAUUUCUUAUUUCGCAUUCGCAUUCGCAUCAAGACAGUAAACGAGCAACGACCAUCGCUGUCAUUGCAAUAAACUGAUUGUAACUUUUCUAAAACAAGAAAUAUUGAGGUGCGAGGAGAAAAAAAUGAAUAAUGGUAACCGGCAAAACCUGUCAGCUGAACCUACGAGAUCUGCAAAUAUAGUUGGUAGGGUGGAGAAAAGCAAGCCGAGUUUUCUACGUGGCAACGGAGUGUUCGUUGUUGGAUUUAUCGGUUUCCUAGCUAUUCACAUAGCUUGGGACAGACUGGUCGACUAUUAUGUACCGGAAGACCAAAAAACCAAAUUGAAACCGUUUCAGUAUCUGAGAAAACUGGAUCCAUUUCCACGUGAAUAAACAUUAUGUUUCUUUACUACAUUUUUUCUAUACCUUGUUCGCUCUUAUGCAUUUUUAUUUUUCUUUGGGUGAAACGAACCGUUCCUAUGCCAUUCUUACCACAACUGUAACGAAGUUUGGAUCGUUGAUACACAAACUUGAGAUCCGUCAACUGCAAAAUUUAGUUACGCUGUUCAGCUUCAAAAAAAGAAUUUCAACAAUUCCUAGUUGAAUGAAAUGUUAUACAUUUCGUUCUAACUGUACACAACCUGGCAGGGUUUCAAUACAUUUUAACAAUAAAUAUACAACGUGGCGAGUCUCUUUA